rnacentral:lncRNA from 1 species
CUUAAAAGCCUAAACGCUUCAACAGAAAAAAAUGGGGAAAGGGGAAGCCUAGAAUGUUUCUGCAGAGUGAAAAGGGGAAAAAGAAAGGGAGAAUAGGGAGAGGGGGACACGAUGCCCAUAGUGUGUCGGUCUUAGCCGAUUUUGGCGUUCAACGACGUUCGACGCGUCCGCCUCUGCCUCCACCAUGGCACCAGUCCGAAACCCCCAAAACACAGGUAAAUUUUCUCCUCCUUUUUUUACUAAAAAUUUUAUCUAUCUAAGAAAAAAAUGAAAAAACAAGUGAAACUAAAACCCCCGAUCUAAAAAAGAGUCCCUUUAUGUUUUCUUUGAAUAUCUGUAUAUAUGUUAUAUUCGAAACUGGAUUUGCAAAGGAAAUGGAGAAAACGGAACAGAAAGAAACACCUUGAUUUUUUGUAUUCGAUUGCUCUGCUUUUUUUCUAUCUUACGCGUGUAUUGUGUCCGUCAUUACAAAAAACAUAGGGCUUUUAUAUAGCCAAAAACUAAAAAAGAAAAAUACAAAUAAUUCCUUGCCAUUGUUUUUCUCUUUACAGCUAUUUGCUGUGCUGUGUUUUUUGUCUUCUCUUGCAGGUACGGUGCUGGAGGCUACUGGAGGCUAGUUACGGUGCAAGGGGAACCCUAGGGUUUCUGUCUAUGCUUUAACUUUGGGCCUGCUGGGCCGUGUAAUCUUGGGUCUAAGUUAAUUUGGGCUCGUAUUGGGUUUUGAACUUAGGCUGUGUAAUUGGACUUUUGAUGGACUAUUGAUAUUUGGAUUUUUUAAUUUAUUUUGUAUUUUGGUGGACCCGGGCAAAUUGGCCCACUUACAAUAUCAAUAUAAAUCACAUUUCAUACAAA